UCAUCCAUCCUGCCGCCCUGCAGCCUCUCGGUCAUUUGGGGGUCUCCCCAGCGCAGCCCCUCUAGACAGCUUGCUUUCCUCCCCAAGGCUGCCUCCCGCCACGCCCAGGGUGUGGAGAAAGCUCUGCAGGUGCCUCCAGAGCCACCUUCCCCCAGGCCUGGGUGUGCUUGUCUGCAGGUAGAUGCCAGCCUGCACCCCAUGGGUCUGAGCAUGGCCUGCUCGUCUCCCCAGACAGCUGGGAGGGCCCCAAGCCACCAUCACUUCUUACCUUGAUUCCAGAUGCCUGGCCCUGUGACUGCCACAUAGUAAUCGAUGUUAAUUGAAGGCAGAGCCGAAUGGCAGAUGAGCACAUGGUCUUGAUUCCGCUCUAUGAAAACACUCAGCACAUCCAAUCAACCUGACGUUUGCAGGAGAGCUGGGAUCCUGUGAGGUGCCGCCGUGCAGCAAGCAUCUGGACUAUGUGCAAGAUAGAGAGGACACAUCGAAGGCAUCCCCUUUCCAGCUAUGAACCCAGCAUUGCGCAUGCUCGGCCCUGCGAUGGCCCUCAGCCUCCCGGCUGACGGAGGCUGUCCUGGAUGUGCUUGCCGGCAUCAUUCUGGUCGAACGUACUAGAUGGCUACUGUUGUGUUCAGCAAACAGCCGGUGCCUCAUGCCAAAUGUAGUC